AUUGAACGCUGGCGGCGUGCCUAACACAUGCAAGUCGAGCGGUAACAGGUGUAGCAAUACAUGCUGACGAGCGGCGGACGGGUGAGUAACGCUUGGGAAUCUGCCUAUUAGUGGGGGACAACCCGGGGAAACUCGGGCUAAUACCGCAUACGCACUACGGUGGAAAGCCGGGGACCGCAAGGCCUGGCGCUAACAGAUGAGCCCAAGUCGGAUUAGCUAGUUGGUAGGGUAACGGCCUACCAAGGCGACGAUCCGUAACUGGUCUGAGAGGACGACCAGUCACACCGGAACUGAGACACGGUCCGGACUCCUACGGGAGGCAGCAGUGGGGAAUAUUGGACAAUGGGCGAAAGCCUGAUCCAGCGACGCCGCGUGGUGAAGAAGGCCUGCGGGUUGUAAAGCCCUUUCAGUGGGAAG
rnacentral:rRNA from 1 species